GGUGGAUGGUGUGCAUGGUGAUGGUUCAUGUAUGUGUUGCUGUGAGUCUGUGUUUUGCAGACUCUGCAGUAACGCUCACUCCACACCUGCAGCCAUAGAGCACUCAGGAGAUCAUAGUACUGGCCUUUGACUGUCUUCAGUGACUUAUUCCCAUUGGCUAGCCUCCAAACUCUCCAACACAA
ensembl:snoRNA Small nucleolar RNA SNORA23